UACAGAGGGUGCGAGCGUUAAUCGGAAUUACUGGGCGUAAAGCGCGCGUAGGCGGCUUUGCAAGUCGGGUGUGAAAUCCCCAGGCUUAACCUGGGAACUGCAUUUGUGACUGCAUGGCUGGAGUGCGGCAGAGGGGGAUGGAAUUCCGCGUGUAGCAGUGAAAUGCGUAGAUAUGCGGAGGAACACCGAUGGCGAAGGCAAUCCCCUGGGCCUGCACUGACGCUCGAUGCACGAAAGCGUGGGGAGCAAACAGG
rnacentral:rRNA from 1 species